AGCAGUCCACAGGGCUUCCCGGGAAUUUUCCCGGAGGAAGUUCCAUCCACCGGAUUACCGCACAGCCGAAAGGUACCUGCGAGAGCAGGGGAUUAGUUACAGAGACGAGACGGCUGCAUAUAGAUGCGAAUGACUGUUAAAGGACAAUAUAUGCAGUCUUGUGAAACGAACAUAAUCUGUGCUUUGGUGCAACGCUUUUCGCGGCUCAGACGAAUGCCCUGAUGAGUAAUGCUUGCAUUAUGCACGGCAAAAAACUCAACAGAAGAUGGACUAUGGGCUGCU
rfam:Candidatus Altiarchaeales archaeon WOR_SM1_79 WOR1_52_54_20789, whole genome shotgun sequence.